rnacentral:rRNA from 1 species
CCCUAGUAUUCUAUAUUUUAUGAAAUUAGUAUAUUAAAGAAAUUUAAAAUUUUUGGCGGUUAAUUAUAAUUAGAGGAGCUUGUUUUAUUAUAGAAUUUACUCUUUAUAUUUUAUAAAUUAUAAGCUUAUUUAUCUCCGUUAUAAUGAUUCUAAAACAAAGUAAUUACUACUAAAAUUUCAGGUCAAGAUAUAGCUUUAAUUUCUUGAAAUUAGCUACAAUUAUAAAAUAACGAAAAAUUAUUUUAAAAUAUUUAUAAGCUGAAUUUAAUUGUAAUAUAUUUUAAUAAUGAAUUUAUGAAAAAAAAUAAUUAAUGUA